rnacentral:misc_RNA from 1 species
GGAAGAAAAAGUCGUAACAAGGUUUCCGUAGGUGAACCUGCGGAAGGGUCAUUACUGAGUGAGGGCCCCUCGGGGUCCAACCUCCCACCCGUGUUUAACGAACCUUGUUGCUUCGGCGGGCCCGCCUCACGGCCGCCGGGGGGCAUUUGCCCCCGGGCCCGCGCCCGCCGAAGCCACCUGUGAACGCUGUCUGAAGUAUGCAGUCUGAGACAAUUAUUAAAUUAAUUAAAACUUUCAACAACGGAUCUCUUGGUUCCG